AGUUUGAUCCUGGCUCAGGAUGAACGCUAGCGGCAGGCCUAAUACAUGCAAGUCGAACGGUCUUUAGCAAUAGAGAUAGUGGCGCACGGGUGCGUAACGCGUAACCAACCUACCCGAAUCUGGGGGAUAGCCCGCCGAAAGGCGGAUUAAUACCGCAUAAAACGGCAGACCGGCAUCGGUUCACCGUUAAAGAUUUAUUGGAUUCGGAUGGGGUUGCGUGCCAUUAGCUAGUUGGGGAGGUAACGGCUCACCAAGGCGACGAUGGCUAGGGGAGCUGAGAGGCUGGUCCCCCACACGGGCACUGAGAUACGGGCCCGACUCCUACGGGAGGCAGCAGUAGGGAAUAUUGGGCAAUGGUCGAGAGACUGACCCAGCCAUGCCGCGUGCAGGAUGAAGGCUUUCUGAGUCGUAAACUGCUUUUGCCAGGGAAGAAAAACAGGGAUGCGUCCCUGACUGACGGUACCUGGUGAAUAAGCACCGGCUAACUCCGUGCCAGCAGCCGCGGUAAUACGGAGGGUGCAAGCGUUGUCCGGAUUUAUUGGGUUUAAAGGGUGCGUAGGCGGCCGAUUAAGUCUGGGGUGAAAGCCCACUGCUCAACAGUGGAACUGCCCUGGAAACUGGUUGGCUUGAGUACAGACGAGGGUGGCGGAAUGGAUACUGUAGCGGUGAAAUGCAUAGAUAGUAUCCAGAACACCGAUUGCGAAGGCAGCUGCCUAGACUGUAACUGACGCUGAGGCACGAAAGCGUGGGGAGCGAACAGGAUUAGAUACCCUGGUAGUCCACGCUGUAAACGAUGAGUGCUAGGUGUAGGUGGGCUCAUACCCAUCUGUGCCGAAGCUAACGCAUUAAGCACUCCGCCUGGGGAGUACGGUCGCAAGACUGAAACUCAAAGGAAUUGACGGGGGCCCGCACAAGCAGUGGAGCAUGUGGUUUAAUUCGAAGCAACGCGAAGAACCUUACCAGGACUUGACAUCCCAUAGACCAGUCUAGAGAUAGACUUUCCCUUCGGGGCUGUGGUGACAGGUGGUGCAUGGCUGUCGUCAGCUCGUG
rnacentral:rRNA from 1 species